rnacentral:rRNA from 1 species
CCUACGGGUGGCAGCAGUAGGGAAUUUUCGUCAAUGGGCGCAAGCCUGAACGAGCAAUGCCGCGUGAACAAGGAAGGUCUUCGGAUCGUAAAGUUCUGUUGUAGGGGAAAAAGAGCGGAGAGAGGAAAUGCUUUCUGCCUGAUAUUAUCCUUCGAGGAAGCCACGGCUAACUACGUGCCAGCAGCCGCGGUAAGACGUAGGUGGCGAGCGUUAUCCGGAAUGAUUGGGCGUAAGGGGUGCGUAGGCGGCCUGCUAAGUCUGGAGUGAAGGGUACCGGCUCAACCGGGACAGGCACUGGAAACUGGCGGGCUAGAGAGCAGGAGAGGGCGGUGGAACUCCAUGUGUAGCGGUAAAAUGCGUAGAUAUAUGGAGGAACACCAGUGGCGAAGGCGGCCGCCUGGCCUGUUACUGACGCUGAGGCACGAAAGCGUGGGGAGCAAAUAGGAUUAGAUACCCUUGUAGUA